GAACCAACUGGUUUACAUGCUAUUAAGGCCUGUAAGUGGUACACAUAUUUACAGAAAAUUCCACUGAAUCAAAUUAACAACAAUUUAAUUAGCUUGGCAGGUUACUCAUUUAGUGGAAAGAUAUGAUCUAUCUCAACAACACUAAAGCUAUUCUGCAUUUGUAACACUGACAAUUAUAAGGAACACCACAACCAGCUGCAGAAAAUGUGACUCUGAGUAUAAUUGUCACUAUUAGAAUUUCCUGACAUUUCACUCUGUCAAUCCUUAAACUCUUGAGCAAGAGGGAAGACUAACAAGGUUAGGUAGAAUAAUUUAUAUAUAGCUUUCCUGUGUAGUCUGUACAUUUGAAAUGCAUGCACAUAGUUUUAACAAGAUGUGUGUGUGUGUUUAAGCAAAGGGCCAGCGGUGUUGACAUCACUUCUGUAAAGUAAAUAAUAUAGAGAGAAGACCUUAAGUUAUGAUACCAGCUAAAAUUAAAUAGACACAAACAUACUGAGGGAAGGAUUAUUUUAUACAUACUAUAAAUAAGGACUUUUAGACUUAAAGAGUGAAUAAUUAGUUCUUGACCACACAGCUACUAAGUGACUAAAUGAAUAUUUGAACCCAGCUUAUUUCUAAAGCCUGCAUACUUAACAUUGUGUGAUUUUUCAUUUUGAAAAAGACAACAAUAAAUGCUACAACAGCUGACUGAGUGCAAGCCAAAAUGCGUACCUCAUAAAUAAAAGUCAAUAUUCAGUGCAUUAGUUUCUUACAGUGCCCACAACAAAAUACCACAAACUAAGUGGUUUAAAAUAACAGAAAUCUAUUCUCUCACAGUUCUAGAAUCUAGAAGUCUGAUAUCAAGGUGUUGGCAGAGUUGCUUCUUUAUGAGGACUCUGAAGGAGAAUCUGUUCUUUGCUUUUCUGCUAGCACCUGGUGACAGACAGAAAUCCUUGGUGUCCCUUGAUAAAGUCACAUUUUGAGGUACUGGGAGUCAGGAGACUUCAAGAUACUUUUUGAGGGACACAUUUCAACCCAGAAUAUCCACUACAGACUGAGUUGCUGUAUGAUAAUUAACAUAUCUUCAGCAUGUCUUAUCAGUGACACAGGGAGAAACCACACACCCCUCCUCAUCUUCCGUCCAACUGAGAACUUAAAUUCAACCUAUGGGUUCAUUAAAUAGGUGUUCUGAAUACUGCCUCUGUGAAUAUUCUUGUACAUGGGUUUUGGAGCAUGCAUAUAGGCAUCCCAAUUUACUAUCUAGCCUAAGAGAAGAAUUGC
rnacentral:lncRNA from 1 species